rnacentral:piRNA from 1 species
UGAAAUGAGAAAGCUGUAUAUGCCAAUAG